rnacentral:lncRNA from 1 species
AAUAGAUAUUUUUUAAAACAUUCAUUUUUCAUGCAAAGUUUUUCUAUAUAACUCUCUAUAUACAACGUGCGUAAAUUAUUCGCCAAUAUAAAAUUGAAAUCUUUCGUACCACCUUGGCAUUCGUAAUGUAAAAUUCAUCCGUAAAUAAUUUUAAUUGUGCUUCAAAUCAUUCGAGAUAAUCAUGUCUGCUCAUAUAUACUUGAAAAUAGAUUUGAUUCUUCAACAAGUCGUAUCCUGAGUUGGACAGAUGUUUGAAGCAAUUUUGGUUACCCCUAGACAUAUACCAGACUCUGAUGGAACAAAACUGUAGCAUUUUGUUCCAUGGACCUCUCGCUGGAAAAGUCAAGCUUAAUCUUUUUCAGGUAAUCGUAGUUCAGACCCAAACAACGGCAGCUUAUUGUAGCGGUUAAAAUCUCAUUCAAACUAGUUUCGAGCUGGUUUCUUACCAGUUUUAAACUAGUUUUAACCAGUUUCAAUCUAGUUAUUAAACUGGUUUUUAGUUUUAACCAGUUUUAAUCUAGUUUCUAAGUUAUUACAACUCUUGCAAAUUAACGGUUAAAAUCUCGUUUCAACUAGAAUCAAUCUAGUUUAAAACUGGUUUCUAACCGGUUUAACCUCGUUUCCGACUCAGAAUACGCAUGUUACCAUACAGAACAACCCAUCAUAAAUCUUCAUCCUUGAUGUCUUGCGCAAAAACCUCGUUUUUGACCGAAGCAAUUUUCUUUGAUUUCUUCU